rnacentral:rRNA from 1 species
CAACCUACCUAUCAGAGGGGAAUAACCCGGCGAAAGUCGGACUAAUACCGCAUAAAACAGGGGCACCGCNUGGUGAUAUUUGUUAAAGAAAUUCGCUGAUAGAUGGGCAUGCGUUCCAUUAGGUAGUUGGUGAGGUAACGGCUCACCAAGCCGACGAUGGAUAGGGGAACUGAGAGGUUGGUCCCCCACACUGGUACUGAGACACGGACCAGACUCCUACGGGAGGCAGCAGUGAGGAAUAUUGGUCAAUGGGCGAGAGCCUGAACCAGCCAAGUCGCGUGAAGGAAGAAGGAUCUAUGGUUCGUAAACUUCUUUUGCAGGGGAAUAAAGUGCGGGACGUGUCCUGUUUUGUAUGUACCCUGAGAAUAAGGAUCGGCUAACUCCGUGCCAGCAGCCGCGGUAAUACGGAGGAUCCGAGCGUUAUCCGGAUUUAUUGGGUUUAAAGGGUGCGUAGGUGGUUUGAUAAGUCAGCGGUGAAAGUUUGCAGCUUAACUGUAAAAAUGCCGUUGAAACUGUCGGACUUGAGUGUAAAUGAGGUAGGCGGAAUGCGUGGUGUAGCGGUGAAAUGCAUAGAUAUCACGAAGAACUCCGAUUG